rnacentral:lncRNA from 1 species
UAGCAAGGAAUACAAACAUUUCAAAAAGUUCAUAGUGAAGGAUGGACCGAUGACAGAGACAGUACUGCCUAGUGUCUGUAGGUGCCAUUGUUGUUUGUUGUAUAAUCUCUUUAAAUCGUUUUUAUGAGUGAGACUUGUCUAACAUUUUUAAGUGGAAAACACAUUAGAUCUGAAGAUAGAUCACAUAUAUACUUCCAUUAAUUAGUUUCUGGAUAUUAAGGUUCAUGUUCUUACAAAUUUGUUCAUGCCCAUAUAAAGGGUUUAUACAAGUUCGAAUCUGGUUUCCUCACUUAGAUCUACUAAAAGAAAAACUCGACAUCCAAUUCAAGAAGAUCCCUAGAGACAAAAAUAACAUCUAGAGGGACAGGUAACACAUAAAGAUCUACACAACACAACAUUCAAAUGACCAAAAAAAAAAUGUACUCCCAUGCCUGGUUAGUAGUAGUAAUUUACUAAUAUAAGUAAAAAAAUCACUGCAAGCAAAUUAUACAAACUGUUGCAAGAAGCCAAGAACCUCACCAUAUCUAUCUUUAUUUAAGUUAAAGACCAAGGUUUGCAAAUGUGCCUGAAUCGUUUAUACGAACUUGUUGUUUGUAGAAUACAUCCAUAAUCCAUUAAAAUCGAUUCAGGUGCGUUUGCAAAC